AGAGUAGUAUUUCUAAAAAGAAUUUAUGAUUUGCAAUUAUAAGAUGUAAUUAUUUUACCUACUUUA
rnacentral:tRNA from 2 species